AUGGCGCAGUCACGUCCAGUAAGACAAGUUACUGAAAAAUACAUCACGAGGGUGGAAAAGGAGAAGGACAACUGUUUAAAAACCAAUAAAAUAGUUUCUCUGCAGUCUGAAGUCCAGACUCUCAAAACACAAAUGAAAACGGCCAUGCAGAAACGGAAUCAACUGCAAACUAAACUAUACAUUUAUAAAUAUGUAACUGAGACCCUUCAACAGAAUGCAGAUGGGUUGGUGGAUCAUUUUGACCUUUGUGUACUAGAACAUAUGAAGAUCCAUGAACAGAAGCUACGAGACUGUCAGGAUCACAGCAAGAAAACAACAACAGUAAGUGACCAAAGUGUGGUGCAGCUGACGCACCAACAAGAAAGAAACAGGCUAUUUGGAACAAAGCACAAAGAAACACUAGUUGCUAAGCUGAAAAGAAAAGUAGUCAAUUGCAGAAAACAGAAAACGAAGCCUGACAACUUACUUCCAGGAAAAACAGAGGAAGAAAAAUACUUCAGGUGGUUGGGAAGGAUGCAGAAGGAGACACUUUACUUGCAAAAUGAGCAAUUGUUGAAGGAAAACAAUGAAGAGAUGAGUGAAAUGUUUUGUCUGCAGUCUGAAGUCAAGACUCUCAAAACAGAAAUUGAAAUUGACGAGGAGAAACAGGAGCAACUGAACCCUAAAUUAAAUAUCAGUAAAUCAGUAUAUGAUUGUGAGCACCUUCUCCUGGAUGAAGCUGUUUUGGUUGAAAAGUAUGACUUAAAAAACCAUAUGAUGAACCAAGCCGUACUCUACCCGCCGGUAUAUCACUGUCAGGAUCGCUUCAAGAACAUAAAAAUGUUUGAAAUGAAAAAAGUAAGUGAACAAAUCCUUGAAGCCAAACUGCUCCACAAAGAGGAUGACAAGAAAACGAACCUUGACAACUUACUGAACGAAGGAGAAGGAAAUAUCAUUGCUGAAGAAAAAAAUAAUGAUGAUGCUGCACAACAUGAAAAUAUCGUCAUGUGCGGAAACCUGCAGAGGGAGGUGAAAAACUUGAAGGCGACGAUAACAGCGCUGGAGAAAAAGCAUCUCUUUCAGAAUGUAUUUAAUUUAGAGCAGAGUAACAAAGAACUACAAAGUUCCAAUCGAAACAAAGAUCUGGAAAUAGCUAAUUUAAAGGAAGAAAUACGACUGCAACAGGGUUUCUCUCACGAAAAGCACAUUAAUGCUAUUCAAACUGCUGAGUUCAGCAGAGUGAAGAACAUCAACAAGAGUCUAGAGGAUGUAAUGACGGUGAUAAAGACUGAGUGUGUAUUGGUAAAGUCACAGCUGGUUACGGCAAGAGAAGAGGUUAAACCACUGAAUGAAACUAUCAUUAAACUCAAAGACAAACUCCAGGCCAGUGACGAAGACUUGAUAAAGGAGAAGAACAAAAACAGAGACCUGGAGACCUAUAUUCUGAGGUUCAAGAAAGACUUGGGGGCAUGCAUGGCUGUUUUCCAUAAGGAGAAAAAAUUUAGAAUCAAAUUCAGUGAAGUCCAAAAACGCUACGUGGACAAUGACGAAAGGAUUGUGAAAGAUAAAAACUCUAGCACAGGGCUUUCACAUCAGAAUGCCAGUCUUAAGAAAGUCGUCAGUAAUUGUCAAAAUAUCCGCCAGAAAAACCCCAGGAUGCUGCGACACGUCCCCGCGACAGCUGAAAAGGACUUUGUUGAAUGUGGCAGUAGUUCCCUCCAACAGGCUGUGAAAAUUGCCAAGUUAAAGACAGACCCCAUAGAACCCAAAGUGAUUCUUAAAAAGGCAAAGAAACCUGUAAAUCAGAGGAUAACAUCAUGGAUGAAGAAGAAAAUUAUCCCGAAAAACAACAAAAUUCACCCACAGGUUGCAGAGUAA
rnacentral:lncRNA from 1 species